GAUCAUGGCUCAGAUUGAACGCUGGCGGCAUGCCUUACACAUGCAAGUCGAACGGCAGCACGGGAGCAAUCCUGGUGGCGAGUGGCGAACGGGUGAGUAAUAUAUCGGAACGUGCCCAGUCGUGGGGGAUAACGUAGCGAAAGCUACGCUAAUACCGCAUACGAUCUAUGGAUGAAAGCGGGGGAUCGCAAGACCUCGCGCGAUUGGAGCGGCCGAUAUCAGAUUAGGUAGUUGGUGAGGUAAAGGCUCACCAAGCCGACGAUCUGUAGCUGGUCUGAGAGGACGACCAGCCACACUGGGACUGAGACACGGCCCAGACUCCUACGGGAGGCAGCAGUGGGGGAAUUUUGGUCAAUGGGCGAAAGCCUGAUCCAGCAAUGCCGCGUGAGUGAUGAAGGCCUUCGGGUUGUAAAGCUCUUUUACUCGGGACGAUAAUGACGGUACCGAGAGAAUAAGCCCCGGCUAACUACGUG
rnacentral:rRNA from 1 species